CAGUAGCCACGGUAACACAGAGGGUGCAAGCGUUAAUCGGAAUUACUGGGCGUAAAGCGCGCGUAGGUGGUUUGUUAAGUUGGAUGUGAAAUCCCCGGGCUCAACCUGGGAACUGCAUCCAAAACUGGCAAGCUAGAGUAUGGUAGAGGGUGGUGGAAUUUCCUGUGUAGCGGUGAAAUGCGUAGAUAUAGGAAGGAACACCAGUGGCGAAGGCGACCACCUGGACUGAUACUGACACUGAGGUGCGAAAGCGUGGGGAGCAAACAGGAUUAGAUACCCCGGUAGUCCCUGUCUCUUAUAC
rnacentral:rRNA from 1 species